rnacentral:misc_RNA from 1 species
GUGAAUCAUCAAAUCUUUGAACGCAAAUUGCGCUUCCUAGCAUCCCGGGAAGUAUGCCUGUUUGAGGGUCAGUAUUAACAAAAAAAUCGGUUUGGUUGCAAAUUGUGACGUUUCCGGAGUUUGGGCUAUCUUAACUUUUUUGGUUAAGGGGCUUAAAAUUGACCUUUUUUGCGCAUUUUUAGACGUACAUAAUUUUUUUUUUUAUUCGUCUAUUCUUAUUGCAAAAAUCUUAUUAGAUGCAUU